AUUGAACGCUGGCGGCAUGCCUUACACAUGCAAGUCGAACGGUAACGGGUCCUUCGGGAUGCCGACGAGUGGCGAACGGGUGAGUAAUAUAUCGGAACGUGCCCAGUAGUUGGGUAUAACUGCUCGAAAUAGCAGCUAAUACCGCAUACGACCUUAGGGUGAAAGGGUGGGAGCGCAAGACCUCUCGCUAUUGCACCGGCCGAUAUCGGAUUAGCUAGUUGGUGGGGUAAAGGCCUACCAAGGCAACGAUCUGUAGUUGGUCUGAGAGGACGACCAGCCACACUGGGACUGAGACACGGCCCAGACUCCUACGGGAGGCAGCAGUGGGGAAUUUUGGACAAUGGGCGCAAGCCUGAUCCAGCAAUGCCGCGUGCAGGAAGAAGGCCUUCGGGUUGUAAACUGCUUUUGUCAGGGAAGAAAUGUUCUGGGCUAAUACCCCGGGAGGAUGACGGUACCUGAAGAAUAAGCACCGGCUAACUACGUG
rnacentral:rRNA from 1 species